UACAUGUUCAGAAAUAGUAUGUACCUAAACCCAAAAUUUUAAUACACUCCAAUGGGGACCUAAACACAAAUGUGGAGAAGUGAAGAUAUACUUAUCUCAGUUAUUUUCAAUGAAACAAAUACACCAACUGGCUUCUCUAUGUACAUAAAAUUACAACUCCAAAACUUAAGAUGUCCUGAGCUGAACAAGAAACAGAAACAAAGACAGAUUACAGAGAAUAUUCUCCUAAGACACAAAAUGGUUUCUGACAGAUGGCCAUGAAAUGUACAAUUACCACAAAGACCACUCUUUGCUAUAGACCAGAACACCCGAAAUUCAAAUGUGGAUAAACCAUGUCCCCCAGCAAACCUAACUAGGGUUUACUGGCCAGACAAGUCAGGGCACUCCCAUAAGAAGAGUAUCAGGAGUAAAAACAAAAUAAAAGGUAAAAUAGAAGAAUCUCUGUACUGUGGUGCCAAAAUGGUGAAGCUGCCAAAGGAGGGAGGCCUGAACCUUAUGCAUGCAGGGAUAGAAGGUGUCAAA